AUGAGCCCUUACAGAAUAACUUCAGUUACAGGUAGGUGUCGAAGGGAACUUUGUGUGGUUUGUUCUGCUCCUGCCGCGACGUCGUCCACCUCACCUGAGCUGCUCCAUCGACAGAAGCAUCCACCAAACCAGAUAUCAUGUCUCCUGACCGUCUUUCGCCGCCUCAGAUCUCCUUCCCUGCCACCGGCACCCACCGCAACGGCAUCACCAUCAUCGACUCAGCAGAUGAACCUGAGGAGUACACGGGUCCACAAGAGAGAUAUUAUACACAGUCAUGCUGAACAUGUAGAGAAAAAGAGAAGAAUUUUGCGCGGCAAUACAAUGUCAUGCAGACAUUGCUCCAUGAUGGGUUCAAUGGAAAACCCUCCCCACCCCUCUCCAGAUUGUAAUCCAGAGGAAGAUAUCAGUUCUGAGGCGGAUUCAGACGCCGCUGACCACUCCAAUUUACCCCCCAAGGUGUUUGCUCUACCUUGGCAUGAUGAUGUUAGUCAUAUCAUGCAUAUGUUGCCUUGA
rnacentral:rRNA from 1 species